UUCGGGGAACCUCCUAGUAGGUUGCCAAAACCGUUGGCAACCGAAACUGGGCCGGCCGCACAAGCAUGACUAGCUACGAUUUUUUUAGAUACUAAAAUAAAAGCUACGAUUUUUUUGAGUUCAUUCAACUGCCAUCGAUUAUGUGUCGUUAGUUAUGCAUCACAAUAUUUUAUUAACUCAUUAAUUGAACCAACUUCCAAACUAUAUAUGAAAUAUCCCAAAAGUAGAAGUGGAUUCAAUUAAUUUAUCACUAACAGAUCCCUUGGCCAGAAAGUCCCAACCUCGGAUGUGUGGAUCCUAGGUCAGAAAGUGAGAUGACAUGCGGGGAAUCUCUAUAUUCAUUCGCCCAAUUUCCACGUAGACGCACUGAAGAAGAGGCUAAAAGAUAUCUGUUCGUGCCACGUGGCUUUCUUGCCACUAAAUAAUUUCUGAUGCCUCUCAAGCCUAGGCAGCUCAUGUGGAUACAACACACGCAUCGUUUUUACUCUUUAGAUGUAUGGACGAUCUCUGUUCAUCAAUGCUAGAGGAUUUUGGAACUGAGAGGCAAGGAAGAGACCGAUAUUUAUCGAUUGGAAGUUGGGGGCGUGAAGGUGGUGGCUCACUUUACCACUGCAUUGCAUUGCUUGCGCUACUCCUAUUUUGAGCACAUGGGGUAAACUUCUCUUUCAGCUUUGAUUUGCUAGCUUCACAUUUAUGUGCGGCAAAACCAUAUCUCUACUCCUAAAGGUACUUGCAGAAUGGUGUGGCGAAAGCACUAGACAAUUAACCAGCGAUUACCAACUACAUCACAACGCUUCUUGUCGUGCCCACAUGCCGUUGAGCCGCCGGCCUGCCCGAGCAGCCAUUGAUCAGCGUCAACCCCGUGAGGGAAAAGUAUGGUACAAGUUUCUGAGGUUGUUAGGUUGUGUGUUCCCCUAGGAUUUAAGUGUGACUGUAGUGCGGUUUUCUGUUUCUUGACUUGUUUCUAUAAGAACUUCAGUGCUUGAGUUUGAACCCCGUGUCCCCGUCAGAUUCACUUUGCUCAAAUUACUCAAUCAGAACUUGUGGUAUUCUGCAUGUUAUUGGCUCUGAAUCUUCCUUCAAUCGUCUUCCAAUUCUUCACAAGUCGAUGAAAUAUUUAUUUCACGCUGGUAUUCAUCGGCCAAUUUCUCAUAUUAGGAGUUGGGAUAAACAUCAAUUUGGCUCAAGGUAAUACACCCUAUUUUGUGCAGACCAAUGUUUUACUAAACUAAUUUGUACAAUUCAGUAUAAACUUGCUAAGGGUCCAGUAACUUGGGUAGGCUAAUAUCCCAUUUUGCCAAGAUUGCUAGACUUCGUGUAUUAAAAACUUCUGUUACUUUUGUACUGAUAUUUCCAGCAAGUGCUAGCAGAAGCAUGGUUUUGCCACAACGUGGGGCUUCAAGGAGAAGGGUCAUUCUCUACUCCGCCUCGAUGCGCAGGUUCCGCCAUCGCACCUCCACCGGCGGCUGCUGCAUGUUGACCCUGUCCAUCCCGCGGCGCUGGUGUCAGAGCAGGCGGAGGUUGCCCUUGCGGUUGUCGGCGAUGAGAGUGUGCACCAGUUCCCAUCGAUCCGCGGCCCAUAGCUAGCUCCAGCGUACGAACGUCGUCGACAUUCCCAUUGGUAUGUAGAGGGGAGCAAGAUGCGGAGCCUGUCGACGUCAUACGCUCGGAGGCCGCACAACCAGCUCGUGGUUACUCUAGAAUAUUUUAUUCAUGACUAGCAAAAUCCUUGCAGCCAGUAGCUAGGAAAGUAGAUAGAUCGAUGUUACUAUAUGUGGUUUGCUGUUUGUCUCUGUAAUAAUCUAGCUGCCAGCAUACCCACUUGAUGGUUGUCUCAAUAAGACACAUAUCUGAAAACAGACUUAGACCUGGGAGUUUACAUCUGCUUUGGUGGUCCUCUAUUCUAAUUGCUAUGUUUGCAUUUUUUACUUGAUUUAGGUGUAUAGAUAAGAGCAAAAGUGAACCAUGCUAGUUUGAUCAGGUUUGGGCAUACACAUAGCCAAAACUUUGAGUGAUAUUUAUGUUCUGGUAGCAUUAAAAUUUAGAUGCAAAAGAAUUAGGAAUUUGAUGUAUUAAAUUGUGUGCCAACAAAAAGAAGUGGCAACAUGGAUAGAUCUUUCAGGGCGUGUGAGGAUUUUAUUUCUCACGUUGCAACACACGGGCACAUUUACCUAUAUAUAUAUACUGUUAAAGGAGAUUAUGCACUCACGUAAUGGUACGUUGAUGGUACGUUCAUCCAUUAUGUACGUCGAUGGUAGGCAAGUUGGGUUCAACAGCCAUCACUGAAGAAACAUGUUCAUCCAACCAGACUACUUCAGAUCUUCAAUCAAAUGUGAGGCUUUCAGGAAGGUAACGAAUUAUGUAAGACAAUUAAAAUUUGUAUCCAUUGAUUGCUAUGUACUCCGUAUAUAGCUUGAAUGAAACAAAACCAUGGAUUUCUUGCAUAUCAUCCGGAUCCCAUAGAGGUUGAUGGAACAUACACUGAAUUCN
rnacentral:lncRNA from 1 species